GACAGAGGGUGCAAGCGUUGUUCGGACUUACUGGGCGUAAAGCGUGUGUAGGCGGCUUUGCAAGUCGGAUGUGAAAGCCCCGGGCUCAACCCGGGAAGUGCACUCGAUACUGCAGAGCUUGAGUGUCGGAGAGGUUGGUGGAAUUCUCGGUGUAGAGGUGAAAUUCGUAGAUAUCGAGAGGAACACCGGCGGCGAAGGCGGCCAACUGGACGACUACUGACGCUGAGACACGAAAGCGUGGGGAGCAAACAGG
rnacentral:rRNA from 1 species